UGAGAACGGCUACUACAUCUACGGAAGGCAGCAGGCGCGUAAAUUACCCAAUCUGACUCAGGGAGGUGGUGACAAGAUAUAACAACGCAAUUUCAUUGUGAGUGUAGUGUGGUUAUUCCAACCGAACCACUAGUACGAUUAGAGGGCAAGUCUGGUGCCAGCAGCCGCGGUAAUUCCAGCUCUAAUAGCGUAUAUUAAAGUUGCUGCAGUUAAAAGCUCGUAGUUGGAUUUCAAGGAUUGUGUACUCUUUUUCGUGUUAUGCUCCCUACUAGUCUUUGACUGUUACUGUGAGAAAAUUAGAGUGUUUAAAGCAGGCAAUUGCAAGAAUACAUUAGCAUGGAAUAACGAAUGUAUCUAGAAUCUUGGUAAUCAGGCACGAUUAAUAGAGACAGAAAGAGGAAGAUUAAUGCAGAGGUGAAAUUCUUGGACCUGCCAACGACUACGUAUGCGAAAGCAUUUGCAAGGAUGGUUUUCUUUAUCCACCACCCCACGACACGGAAUCAAGACAUCAGAUACUGCGUAGUCUAUCUAUAACUAUGCCGACUAGGGAUUGAUUGGAUAUCACAUUUCAGGUACGUUAUGAGGAUCAAGUCUUUGGGUCUGGGGGAUAUGUCCCAAACUGAACCUAAGAAUUGACGAGACCACCAGAUGG
rnacentral:rRNA from 1 species